rnacentral:rRNA from 1 species
AUGAACGCUGGCGGCGUGCUUAACACAUGCAAGUCGAACGGUGAACACGGAGCUUGCCCUGUGGGAUCAGUGGCGAACGGGCGAGUAACACGUGAGCAACCUGCCCCUGACUCUGGGAUAAGCGCUGGAAACGGCGUCUAAUACUGGAUAUGUGACGUGACCGCAUGGUCUGCGUUUGGAAAGAUUUUUCGGUUGGGGAUGGGCUCGCGGCCUAUCAGCUUGUUGGUGAGGUAAUGGCUCACCAAGGCGUCGACGGGUAGCCGGCCUGAGAGGGUGACCGGCCACACUGGGAUUGAGACACGGCCCAGACUCCUACGGGAGGCAGCAGUGGGGAAUAUUGCACAAUGGGCGAAAGCCUGAUGCAGCAACGCCGCGUGAGGGAUGACGGCCUUCGGGUUGUAAACCUUUUUUAGCAGGGAAGAAGCGAAAGUGACGGUACCUGCAGAAAAAGCGCCGGCUAACUACGUG